AAAUCAGAAGACAAGCUAAGAUGCAAGAAAAUGUGACCCUUGAUAAAGAUGGAAAACAGGAAAUGAAAGUGUACCAGGAGAGCCACAAAAGUUCCAGGAGUUCCAGAUGUUCUUUUUCUUUCCCCCGGCCAGGGAUCUGAAACUAACUCGGACUUACUUGAAAAGGUCACUCCCAAGGGUGAACACUCUGGAGAGAAAGAUUUGCUCUCAGUGCUGAUUUAUGAACUGCAGCGUCACAAACCAGCAUUAAUUUGUAGUUAAUUUUUCCCCAAAGCUUUUCGUUUACUUACAGUCAUCUCUUAUCCCUGAAAAAACAAAACACGUAUAUUAUUGUGCUUUAUACUUUCCUAAAGAAGAAAAAAAUUCUAAGAAAAUUAUAUUUAGUAACUUAUUGUCUUAAGAAAAUAACUGCAAAAUAUCUGUCUAGUGUGAUAAAUUAUACGUGUAAGUUUAUUUUUUUUCAGAAGCAGAAAACAUCAUUUCUCUAGUAAGUUCACAAAGAUAAUUAAGAUACCCAGAUGAAAUUCUACAAAUGGCUUUAAAAGUUGAUGGGGAACUGAAUGUUUAGUAUUAAUGUAUCAUA
ensembl:lncRNA novel transcript